GGGGGCUUCAUGGCAGUCGAGGGGCAUCGGGAGGGAAGCUUGCUUUCCUUGCCGGCGACCGGCGCACGGGUGAGUCCACGUAUGCAACCUGCCCUCUUCAGGGGGACAACCUUCCGAAAGGGAGGCUAAUCCCGCGUAUAUCGGUUUCGGGCAUCCGAGAUCGAGGAAAGAUUCAUCGGAAGAGGAUGGGCAUGCGGCGCAUUAGCUUGACGGCGGGGUAACGGCCCACCGUGGCGACGAUGCGUAGGGGUUCUGAGAGGAAGGUCCCCCACACUGGUACUGAGACACGGACCAGACUCCUACGGGAGGCAGCAGUGAGGAAUAUUGGUCAAUGGGAGAGAUCCUGAACCAGCCAAGCCGCGUGAGGGAAGACGGCCCUAUGGGUUGUAAACCUCUUUUGUCGGAGAACAAAACCCGGGACGUGUCCCGGACUGCGUGUAUCCGAAGAAAAAGCAUCGGCUAACUCCGUGCCAGCAGCCGCGGUAAUACGGAGGAUGCGAGCGUUAUCCGGAUUUAUUGGGUUUAAAGGGUGCGUAGGCGGUCCGUUAAGUCAGCGGUAAAAUUGCGGGGCUCAACCCCGUCGAGCCGUUGAAACUGGCAGACUUGAGUUGGCGAGAAGUACGCGGAAUGCGCGGUGUAGCGGUGAAAUGCAUAGAUAUCGCGCAGAACUCCGAUUGCGAAGGCAGCGUACCGGCGCCAGACUGACGCUGAGGCACGAAAGCGUGGGGAUCGAACAGGAUUAGAUACCCU
rnacentral:rRNA from 1 species